CUCAGUCUUUCUGCCACUCAGUCUUUCUGCCACUCAGUGGGUGAAACCCGUCUUGAAGUCGCAUCUGUGACAUUAUGUGCAUUCCCUCUAUUUGUGUCGGGCGUGGUUGUGGGCGGGACACGGAGUACGACGUUGUGUUGACCACAUGAUCCCUGCAGCAUGACUUGCAGUCAGUUGUGAGAUAUUAUCUUAAAUUUCUAGUGUUUUACAUCCGGUUCCGGCGGUCGCCGGCCCGCCACCGUUCUAGCUACUUUAUGAAGUCAUCCUCAUGUGAAGAAGUGUCGUUUUGACGGUUUCUGGCGUGAACGACGCCCCUUUUCCUCAAACUCUGGAGUGCAGGGACGCGGACGCUAACCCGCCCGAAGUCAGCUCGGAGUUUCAAAACGUCUCGGGAAACGGGCUCAAAAACUCUCAAGUGUUGAUAAUCACGUGCUGUUGAUUGUCAUCACUUGAGAAGACGGCGGUCAGGUUCAAGUUAGCCCGAGGUGGUGGUCGUCAUGGAGACGGGACGUCCUUCAACGCCUCCCGCAGGUCCGGGUCUCCUCCUACCCCCACUAGAGGACCUCGGCUAGCCCGUUUUCAUUAGAACAGAACAACCAAACCCAGACUUUUCAGUCACGUCGACUUUUCGGAGCUUCGCCACCCAUCAAUAAUUUUGUAGGAAUAAAAAAAGAGUACGUUUAGGUAAAAGUUUAGUUCAGCGGCGAUGAUAAAUGUGAGAAAGUUGUCAAACAAAUGUUUUAUCUAACGGCUUUGAGCACAAGAUUAGGCGAGUUUAGCUAAAAUAAAGCCUUAGAUCGGGUCUUUGUGUAGGCGGGAUAGUUCAGCAUCCUGGCGUCAGUGUAGCUAAACCAGAUGAGCUCUGAUAUCUGAUCAUUAGUAGCAAAGCUAAACUACGUAACUCAAGUCUGGAUUAGCGCUAACAACGUUAUGUCAGCUAAAAUGGCUAACGGCUAAAAUACUCAAUUACAGUUUUCUGGAUUUAGAGGAAAACUAGAUUAAAUAGUUAUUUCAAAAUCUGGAGUAGCAGCUAAACCGGAACAGGUCUGGUUGGUUUAUAGACGCUAAACGUCUUUACGCGCUAACAUCCUGAAUUAGCAGUUGAACGAGGUUAGAUUGUAUAAAGACGAAAUUAAACACAUUUAAAGCCUUAAUUAGAAGCUAAACUUUAAUAGUUCUAGUUGGCUAAACAUUCAGCUAAACGAAAGCUGGGGCUGUUGGGUAAAGAGCAGCUUAGUUUAGCAGCUAAAUCAGCUAAAUGUGGCUACGCGUGAUGAGGUCCGAACGGCAGCGGCGAGCGUCUCAGAGGACCGUUAGAAGCCGCCAUCAGGGUCGGUAGAAACUCCCAGAAUUCAACGAGGAUGAUAGUAAAACUGUAAAAGCCUCGCAGUAACUCGAUCCACUUCUGCGCUCCCCGGAUCACGACAGGAAGUGGCGAGGCAGCACCGCUCAGCUUCCUGUGCUGAAGAACUGAGAUGACGGUUGUAAACCUGACGGGUUGUUGGAGGCUCCACAGACUCCCCGGAUGUUUCUGAUUCCAGUACGGGAACGGAAACAACUGCCGUUUGAGCUCCGGCGAGUCUCAGGUGUGGUCCUGAACUGGAUUCCUAGCUGGAUUCUGAACUGGAUUCUGAACUGGAUUCCUAGCUGGAUUCUGAACUGGAUUCCUAGCUGGAUCCUGAACUGGAUUCCUAGCUGGAUUCUGAACUGGAUUCUGAACUGGAUUCUGAACUGGAUUCUCAGCUGGAUUCUGAGCUGAGUCGUCAUGUGACCUAAAGGUCGAGUGGGAGCUGUGACGAGGUUUCCAUCAGUUGAGCAGGUUUCCAGCAGGUUUUCAGCAGUUGUGCAAGUUUCCAGCAGUUGUGCAGGUUUCCACCAGUUGAGCAGGUUUCCGGCAGGUUUCCAGCAGGUUUACACCAGUUGUGCAGGUUUCCGGCAGGUUUCCAGUAUUGUGGCGAGCCAGCUAGGAGCCUAAAAAUCCCAUUUGGCCCACUCGUCCCUUGAGAUGCGGCUCAUUUGGAUCUGGAGGUUUCCAGCAGGUUUCCAGGAGUUGUGCAGGUUUCCAGCAGUUGUGCAGGUUUCCAACAGGUUUCCAGCAGUUGUGCAGGUUUCCAGCAGGUUUCCAGCAGUUGUGCAGGUUUCUAGCAGUUGUGCAGGUUUCUAGCAGUUGUGCAGGUUUCCAGCAGUUGAGCAGGUUUCCAGCAGUAGUGCAGGUUUCCAACAGGUUUCCAGCAGAUGUGCAAGUUUCCAGCAGGUUUCCAGCAGGUUUCCAGCAGUUGUGCAAGUUUCCGGCAGGUUUCCAGCAGUUGUGCAAGUUUCCAGCAGGUUUCCAGCAGGUUUCCAGUAUUGUGGCGAGCCAGCUAGGAGCCUAAAAAGCCCAUUUGGCCCACUCGUCCCUUGAGACGCGGCUCAUUUGCAAAAUUGGCACGUUAACAUCGUAUAAUCCCUAAAAAGCAAACAGACAGGGAUGGCAGUGACGGGGAGGUUUGGUGGAUGACUCCCAACAUCCCUGCGUUGCAUCACUGCAGCGCGUCGCGCACCAGGAGAGCGAGGCUAAGCCGCCGGAGCAGAAUCACGUUUUUAUGUCGACAGCAAUAUGAAGAGGAGACUUUCAGGCCAGUGUAAAGCUGGAACCGUGGCUGAAGAGCGGUCCGACUGUUGCCAUUAGCACGCCCCCCUCUUAGCGGCAACUCAUCCCACAACUCUGUAGAGGUGACAUGUUUUAGCUCCGUACUUUAGAAGCAGAGUCCCAACAGCGCAGUAGCAUCAUGAACUACAGUCAAUAAACUCUUGUUUGUUCCUUUGCUGAGACGCAGGGGACGUUUCCACUGCCUUUGUUUGUUUGUUUGUUCGUUGCCUGGUUGGUUCGUCUGUUUGUUUGUUUACGGAGAUGUUGAGUAACAAAAAAAAUGUUUUAAAAGAUGGAUUUAUUUAACAAUCAUGUAUUAAGAGAACAUGUAUAUGAAGAGGAUUUUCAGAGCAUCAGAAUGAAGAUAUUAGAGAUAAUCUAUCCCAGAUGUUUUAACAGCAGAUUGAUUUAUAGAUGAUAGGCCUACUGAGAUAUUAAAUAUAACAAUUGCUAAAAAUGAUGAAGA